rnacentral:ncRNA from 2 species
AGGAAAAUUCCACAUACAGGCGCUCCGGUAUUUAUCGGGGCUCAAAGGGAAUCCCCACUCCAACGAAUUUCUGAUAACUAUUCAUGCGUAGUUCUUUGUGUCAGAAAUUCGGAGAAAAGGGAACGGUACCGCCGCUGUAAUCGGUGACGAACGUUGCAAGAACCACUGAAAGGCCUCUUAAACGGCCUUUCGGGAAGGUGCAAUCAGUAGGAUGAUCCGUAGUCAGAAGACCUGCCUGUAGUGUUUGGCUGAA